UAACUGAAGAGUUUGAUCAUGGCUCAGAUUGAACGCUGGCGGCAGGCUUAACACAUGCAAGUCGAGCGGGGGAAGGUAGCUUGCUACUGGACCUAGCGGCGGACGGGUGAGUAAUGCUUAGGAAUCUGCCUAUUAGUGGGGGACAACAUCUCGAAAGGGAUGCUAAUACCGCAUACGUCCU
rnacentral:rRNA from 1 species